CAAUGUUUGACAGAGAUGUAUGGAGUGAGAGAAGGGAAAUGAUAUUUUCCGAUCCCAUCGUUACUCUCUUCCCUCUCUCAUUCCAUACAUCGUCUGACGAACCUAGC
rfam:Glycine soja cultivar W05 scaffold708_4, whole genome shotgun sequence.